GGUACUGUGCCUGCAUCACGUGGCGAAUCGGGUGCAAUUCCCGGGCUGUCCCGCAACCGUGACAGUGCGUCGACCAGGCGCACUGGAGCCGGACCAAAGCGUGAUAACCCACUCACCA
rnacentral:ncRNA from 2 species